GGUCCCAUCGUCUAGUGGCCCAGGACGCUGGAUUUUCAUUCCAGAAAUCGCGGGUUCGACUCCCGCUGGGACCG
rnacentral:tRNA from 3 species